rnacentral:rRNA from 1 species
AACGAACGCUGGCGGCAGGCUUAACACAUGCAAGUCGAGCGCCCCGCCAGGGGCGCGGCAGACGGGUGAGUAACGCGUGGGAACGUACCUUUUGGUUCGGAACAACUCCGGGAAACUGGAGCUAAUACCGGAUAAGCCCUAACGGGGAAAGAUUUAUCGCCGAAAGAUCGGCCCGCGUCUGAUUAGCUAGUUGGUGAGGUAACGGCUCACCAAGGCGACGAUCAGUAGCUGGUCUGAGAGGAUGAUCAGCCACACUGGGACUGAGACACGGCCCAGACUCCUACGGGAAGCAGCAGUGGGGAAUAUUGGACAAUGGGCGCAAGCCUGAUCCAGCCAUGCCGCGUGAGUGAUGAAGGCCUUAGGGUUGUAAAGCUCUUUUGUCCGGGAAGAUAAUGACUGUACCGGAAGAAUAAGCCCCGGCUAACUUCGUG